UACACUUGGUUGAGUAUCACAAAGUUGUAACUUAAAAUCACAUUUAUCAUCUGGUCCACAACCAAUCUGAUCUGCAAGCAACUGAGCACUGCCCAUCGGACCCAAAAAAGAGGAAAGAAGAUAAAUCUACAACAUACUAACAAAAGAAGUUGAAAAAAGGUACUAGGCUAAAAUCCAUAUCAAACAACAAAAGGCUUGUUCAUAACCUUACAACAACAGAUUCAAGCAUGGGAGCCUCAUAACUAAAACAUGCAGUUUUACAGUUUAACAUACAAUUUUGAACAAAUCUCAUAUCUACUGGGCUACUGGCGAAAUAAGAACACACCACUUUAAUUCAAAAAGUAGAUACGAAAUUUAUCUCUACUCUUAUGAUUUGGGUAAUCUUCCGCAAGCAUAUGCACUAUAAUAGAGAGGGUUUCUGCAUUACGUAAGAUGGCUCUCUCCUCCAUUAAACUCAGCCAUUAUAGUGCCUGGUGAAUAUUGCUUCUCACAAGGAAUGCUUGAACCAUGAUAUUGAACGUAUGAUCAUCUGGAGGAAAAUAUCUCAACAUAAAAAUAACUUUUAAAACUAGAUCAGUGGAAAACAGCAUACGCAAAAGCUUAGCAAAAUAAACCAUGAUGAAAAUAUAAAUUCCAUACCUUUCUCCCUGCAUCAGUAAAACUGGCAAAACUAAACAAGCUUGUAUCCCAUGAAGGG
rnacentral:lncRNA from 1 species